UGGGGAAUAUUGGACAAUGGGCGCAAGCCUGAUCCAGCCAUGCCGCGUGGAUGAAGAAGGCCCUAGGGUUGUAAAGUCCUUUCACCGGGGAGGAUGAUGACGUUACCCGGAGAAGAAGCACCGGCUAACUCCGUGCCAGCAGCCGCGGUAAGACGGAGGGUGCUAGCGUUGUUCGGAAUCACUGGGCGUAAAGGGCGCGUAGGCGGCUUCAUGAGUCAGAUGUGAAAGCCCGGGGCUCAACUCCGGAACUGCAUUUGAUACUGUGGAGCUAGAGGUCGAAAGAGGAGAGUGGAAUACCCAGUGUAGAGGUGAAAUUCGUAGAUAUUGGGUGGAACACCAGUGGCGAAAGCGGCUCUCUGGUUCGAUUCUGACGCUGAGGCGCGAAAGCGUGGGGAGCAAACAGGAUUAGAUACCCGGGUAGUCC
rnacentral:rRNA from 1 species